rnacentral:rRNA from 1 species
AUGGCGACGUCCAUGCUUCGAUCUGCCCUCGCGCUCCGGCGAUCGGCAAGUCUGAGGCUUCUGGUUCGCAUCCCCUUGAGCUCUGCGUCGGCUGUAUCCUUCAGCAGCAACACCGCCUCCUCCGGCAAGGGUGAGGACGCCGGCGGCCGGUCUGAGAAGCGUCAUACCGAUAAGAAAGAUGACGAGUCAACUGCAGCAAGGAGGCGAAGCAAACAAAACGGACAUGGCAUCUCCCGAAGCCUGUUUGAUGAUUUUGAUGAUUCUGAUUGGGAGAUGGCGGCGCUUUUGGACGACGACAAGCCUCCCCGAGGAUCUUCCACUGGACAAGACUCUACCAAGGACUCCUCCUCCUCCUCCUCCUCUGCGGCGGCAGAGUCGGACGUGUCCUCGCCAUCAUUAGGGGGCUUCUGGGACUCCGGAAGCUCUUCAUCAUGGGGUUCGGGAGGAGGGGACUCGUGGUCAGGAGGAGGGGGAUUCUCGGGAGACUAG